CGUGGUUCGAUUGGUCGUCCUCACCCUUCAUGGCGCCACAUCAGGAAGCUGCACCGCUCACAAGCUUUCUGCAUAUGACUUCUUACUUCCUUUACAGAACAAGAUAAUCGCCAGGUGGUGUGGGCUGCCAAUUUCAGGCUCAUCUCCGGUUAUGAAACUGACAUCCUCUGGGAAUGUGAUGCUAGUCACGUUCUCUUUCAGCAGACAGAGGGAUGGAGCCAUCUUUAAAGCUUACUUCCAGGCCAUCCCAAAAGCAGGUUGUGGAGGGUCAAUUUCCUCCUGGAAUGGCUCUAUUUCCUCACCCUACUACCCUUCCUAUUAUCCUCCGAAUAUAGACUGCAUUUGGACACUGAGGGUGCCAUUGCCAGGAUACCUGAUCUCCGUAACUAUCGUGACAAUGGACAUUCAGGAUUCUCCAUCAUCAGACGGCUGUGAGAAGGACUGGCUGGACAUCGG
ensembl:lncRNA